rnacentral:rRNA from 1 species
CCUACGGGAGGCAGCAGUGGGGAAUCUUGCGCAAUGGGCGAAAGCCUGACGCAGCAACGCCGCGUGCGGGAAGAAGGCUUUCGGGCUGUAAACCGCUUUCAGCAGGAACGAAAAUGACGGUACCUGCAGAAGAAGGAGCGGCCAACUAUGUGCCAGCAGCCGCGGUGAUACAUAGGCUUCAAGCGUUGUCCGGAUUUAUUGGGCGUAAAGAGUUCGUAGGCGGUCGAGUAAGUCGGGUGUGAAAAUUCUGGGCUCAACCCAGAGACGCCACCCGAUACUGCUUGACUUGAGUUCGAUAGGGGAGUGGGGAAUUCCUAGUGUAGCGGUGAAAUGCGCAGAUAUUAGGAGGAACACCGGUGGCGAAGGCGCCACUCUGGAUCGAUACUGACGCUGAGGAACGAAAGCAUGGGUAGCAAACAGGAUUAGAUACCCUGGUAGUCCAUGCCGUAAACGGUGGGCACUAGGUGUGGGUUUCUAUUAACGAAAUCCGCGCCGUCGCUAACGCAUUAAGUGCCCCGCCUGGGGAGUACGGUCGCAAGACUAAAACUCAAACGGAAUUGAACGGCUUGAGAGUUGCGAAGNGACGACGAGGGAGAG